CAUAUAGAAUGCUAAAUCUUGACCUUUUUUACUGUAAUAUAACUAUGCUCACAUACGAGCAUCAAAUCUUUGGUUUAUGAAAUGUAGCACAUAUAUUUGGCUUCUUUCUUAUUAUUGAACAGUGUAUUUUGAGUCUUUUCCCAUGGAACAUUUUGAUCUGUGUGACUCACCAGUGUGACUCACCAGUGAGACUCACCCGAGCUGCCAAUUGAAGCUUAAACAUCUGAUCUGCUCUGUGUCCCCCGCCGUCAGGACACACUGAAGACGCUAAAUCCUGCUUUCCUUGAAGAGUUCCUCGGGUCCGUUGAAGGCAUGGCUUCCUUCUGCUCCGAAGCCCAGCUCAGAGAGAUGGAGCUGCUCGCCCUGUCCGUGCGCGGCCAAUGGGAGGGUGUGUGUUUAGCGAUAGCGACCUUUUUGCCACACUUGCGGUGUGAGCUUGAGCGAGGACUGUCGCUCGUCUCGAGGCACGUGCCCCACACUAAAUCACAGGGCUCCUCCUCUGGCCUGCAGCCUGUGUGCAGUGAACAGGUAUCCUAACCGCCUGCUGGCCGCCCGCAACACUGCAUGCAUGCAUGUCUACAUGUAGACAGGAGAUGGGAUAUGCAUGUGUGGUCUAUGACUUAAAUAAGAGGAAAUUAUGAUAAUGCAUUCAUCAAUCUGAAUGUAUAGUAUAACAGGAAAUGGCUUUCAGUCUGUCGUAAGAUGACAGGAUGUGCAUUUAUCAGUCUGAAUCGAAUCUGAAUUCAAAUAGUUACACCUUUAACUAACCCAGUCCCAUACAGUGGGUGGUCUGUUGCUUUUUUUUCUAUCAUAUUCACUUUGUCGUCUCUUGCCACAAACGUAUCACUUUACCAAAGGACUUUGGUUUCCACUGGUUAUGGUCGAAUAUCCUCUUCCUCAUCUUGUUUCCUACAUCACCUUAUCACUUUGACCCCCGAAAGCUUAUCAAAGUGUGUUUAACACGUUAGCCAAUUACUGAGUUAGCGGGAAGUCUCAAACAUCUUCUCUGCGUCUCGCACGGCGUGUGGCUCGGACUGUUUGGAAAAUAUUUGGUGAAGGGACCCCUGGGCUCUGAGGGCUCAG
rnacentral:lncRNA from 1 species